UAAUACGGCCAUACCACCCUGAACACGCCCGAUCUCGUCUGAUCUCGAAAGCUGAACAGGGUCGGGCCUGGUUAGUACUUGGAUGGGGGACCGCCUGGGAGUACCAGGUGCCGUAAGUG
ensembl:rRNA 5S_rRNA 5S ribosomal RNA